UGUUCAGCAUUCGAGUGGCCGAUCACUUGAAUUGACUCCAGAGACAGGAGCACUGGUAUGUUCUGGGUUUAGGAUUUAAUUAUGACUGUACAAGGACAUUAGAUUCAUCACUCAAAUACCUUUUGCUUGUGCAAUUUAUUUUCUUCACUGGUGGUAUUGUGUUUUUAACACUUAUAGUGAAUGGUUCGACAACACAGUUCGUUUUACACUACCUUGACAUGGACAAGUUAACAGCUGUAAAGAAACGUAUCCUUGAUUUCACAAAGUAUGAAAUGUUGAACAAAGCACUAGAAGCUUUUGGUGAACUUGGAGAUGAUGAGGAACUUGGAGAAUUUUAACUGAUGCAAAGGACAAGAAUCUUGGAUGCUAUCAAGGCAACAGUGGGAGCUAAAACUAAAGUUAUUUACGAGAAGGUCCCAUCGAAAGACACCAUAAACAAUAGUGAGUUCUCAUUUGCAAUUGUAGCUGUUGGUGAACCUCCUUAUGCAGAGUCCUUGGGUGACAAUUCUGAGCUUAAAAUCUGCUUUAAUGGACCUGACAAUAUAAGUCUAAGUUUAUUUAUUUAUCUUGUCUUAAGUUUUUAUGUUAGAGGAUUAUUUAUUAUUUAAAAGUUUAUUUGUC